AAACUUUCAACAACGGAUCUCUUGGUUCUGGCAUCGAUGAAGAACGCAGCAAAACGCGAUAAGUAAUGUGAAUUGCAGAAUUUAGUGAAUCAUCAAAUCUUUGAACGCACAUUGCGCCUGCCAGCAUUCUGGCAGGCAUGCCUGUCCGAGCGUCAUUU
rnacentral:rRNA from 1 species